GGGGCACGAGUGAGUGGGUGUUAAUAUCGCCCUUGUGGCCAUGCAGAGCUGGAUAAGGAUCAAGUUUUGACGAUUUAUAGAGUAUUUAUUUGGCUAAAAAGAAAACUGGCCUGAAGAAAGAGUGCUCAGAGGCGUGUCUAUUGGCAUCCUUACAAUCCUUGAAGAAGAUGAUCCUGCUGUAUCACCCAACGUACGGGACUGGGCUGUUGGGUUGGAAGGUUCCAUCGUGCUACAUGACCUGCCAGACCUCGACCCCCCACUGAGAGGCGGUCAACGAGGGAUUUGAAGGACGCGUGGACUGCGGGCUGAAUGGCCGCCCGGCUGAGAGCGGCGAGGAGGGAAAGUUCAUUAUCUCGCUGAAAAGGGAACCGAUGGCUUUGGCCGUCGCCGUGGCAACGAGCCUGUCUUUUGCCGUCAGCCCCAUGAUAAGGUCUAUUCAACUGGUGGUCCACAUGUGUGCAGUACUCCCGCCACCCCAGCACGGGGCAACAGCGAGGCAUGUGUGUCACAGUGAAGCAGCAGUGGGGUGAGUACAAGAGGACUAUUUACUGGACAACAAAGUAUGAAUGUUCUACCCCGAGCAAGUGCUGGAGUCAUUGUUUCCUGUGGGCCCUUAUAAGCGAACGGACACAUUGAUCCAAUAAUGGUAGAAAUCCUAGCGUCUAAUCUUCAUCACCAAACUUGGUCAAACAUUUGUAAGUACAAACCCCGUUUCCAUAUGAGUUGGGAAAUUGUUUUAGAUGU